AAUAGCAUUUAAUUCUGAUCAGAUUCAAAUGGAUAGUCGUUCCGAACAUAUAGAUGGUGCAUACAUGCAAGGAAGGAACUACAAACCUGAUACAAAGCAAUGUUCUCUUUUAUACCAAAAGGAGGUCUUUGAAGUAUCUUUAGGGAUGUCAUAAACCAUCAACUGGCAUCUGCAUAUCCUGGAAUCUGGUUUGUGUAUCCCAUAGUAAAGGUCUUUAGCCACUUGGUCCCCUAUUAGCACUACAAAGGUGAGCACUACAAAAGUGUGUAGAUUGCUUCUGCUAGUUGAGAUCUUGUGGGAAACAGAGUGGCAUUUUAUGGAGGUUUUUAGAUCUUAAUGCAGGUUAAUGCAGGAUGUACUUCAUGAGAAAGGAAAUGCAGGUAUACAAAGACAUCAGUAUAUAUGUUGCAGGAAACAAUUCUAGCAUUUUAGUAUAUAUGUUCCCUUCAUUCCUCCAUUUUUAAUAUGAUGGUAUGCUUGCCAUCAUGGUAAAUAACCUUAUUCUAUUCAGCAUAUAAAUGGGAGUGUUCCUAUGAGUGUUCCUAUGAUUCCAGCUUCUGCCCAGGUGGUCAGCCUUAUCUUUGAACUCUGGAGGCCAGCAAUCUUUCUCUGGUCUCCUCAUAAACAGGGCUGUAUAUAAAAAAGAAAAUUGCUUUAUUCCAGUGGCUAGUCAAUUGCACAUAGGCAAAAUUUCCAAUAUAAGCCAUCUGGAGCAUACCAAUUAUCACAUCCGUCCAUAACCCAUUCUAAUCUAGUUAUUUUCAAAUGGGUUACUAGGUUGUGUCAGUUCAUAAUUGCUGAUAAUGUAUGAUUUUUUCACACUUAUUGCAUCAUCUGCUCCUCCCAUUUAUCCUAUGCAUAAGAAAAUUGCAAAUGUUGAACCAUUGCAUUCUUAUAUCUUCAGGGAGUAUGAUAUCACUAUCUCCUAGGACUAAUGAUCAGGUUUCUAUAGGAGCAAUCCCUUGCACAUUUCAACAAUCACAGUGUUGCAGUUCACAAGUACAACAAUAAUAACAACAGCAUUCAGUAAUGCAGUUACAAUCACAAACAAACACAAUCUGCAGAGUGCGAAGCUGCACAGCUGCUUUUGGAUCUUCAGAUGGAGUAAAAGAGUCCACCAAUCAGGUCAGAAAGACAAAACUUGCUUCUCCUGCAAAGAGAAAAAUCCCAAACAAAACAUAUGCAUAUCAACAUGACCACAUUUUUGAAAAUGUUCAUUCUCAGUUAGUCUCUAGGAAUCACUUGGCACUUGUGGAGUUCUUUCAUGGGGCAAGUUUCUCUUCCACCUGACAGAAAUUUAAGAUGUUCAGGACUUGCUGCUGACAGAAAUCUCAAAUACAAUCCUUACAUGAAUACAUAAAACAAGAAAGAACCAGCUGUCUUCUGGGAAUUGAAAAAAAAAGAGUCUUUUGAUCGUUACAUGUCUACUCAUUACAUGUCCAUUUCUUUAUUGGGAAGUUCUGCUCCACUUUGGUUGUGUGGUGACUUUCAGUGGAGGCUGUCUCAAAUGGAUGGAAUGUCUCUUUUGGGGAAAGCAUCUUGACCCAUGUAUUCGACUUCCACAGGUUUGAGUCAUCUUGCAGGACUAAAAGACAUGAGAAGGGGUCCCCUCCUCCCUUUCUGGGUGAGAAAAGGCAUUGUUGGAGGAUUAGGGAGGGGGUCAAAGGAGAAUAGAUAGCUUGCAGAUAAAACUUGUACAAUAUAUUCCCAUAUGAGAAAAGGUAGCUGGAUUCACAUGCUUCAGGAAGGAGAUGAACAGGUAAAAUCAUUUAAACAAGUGUACAGAGAAGAAAGAAGGUUGAACUCUGUUCUUUACCCUGUCUAGAUAGCUGGUCCAUCCUGGAGGAAAAGUCAUUUUACUUCUUUCCAGCACUUUUAAAAUUCAUACUCACACAAAAGUAGGGACAAAGAAGAAAUGACACAACUUGGAGAGGUGGUUUACACACAAGUCUCAGUUUUUUAGCAAACAUACUAUGUGGAAGACAGAGAAAAAGACAAACAAUCAACAAAAACCCAAAUCCUACCCUUUUAUUCUUGUGUAGAAAGAUAAACAACAAAAACAGAAAAAGACAAACAAUCAACAAAAACCCAUCUCCCACCCUUUUUAUUCGUGUGUGGAAGUUGUUCACUAACAAAUCCACAGUAUCAAAAACUUCCAAAAACAAAUCACAUCAUAUCUUAGCAAAAUCACUAUUUGUCUUACUUUGCUCAUACUUUUCUAACUCCUAACUCCUAACAUUAAACCUUUAUUUUAGCUUAAUUAGUGCCUCAAGCUUCAAAUACAAAGCUUGACUUAACAAAUUAAAUCCAUCAUAGCACCAGUAUCCGAUCACCCUCCCAUCCAUCACUCUUUCCACAUCUUUUAAUUGUCUAACUUAUCUCUGAAAUAGUUCCUAAAACAGGGCACAUCUUGUGCUACUAAAAAUAAAAAUAAACAAUACAAACAGCAAAUAAGGGGCGCCUUGAGUCUGAUUAAAAAAAAAUGCAUUUUGUAAGCUUUUGGGUGAGUCUUUUUAUGUGGAAAAGCUGAGUGCGUUUUUUUUUAAAAAAAGAGAUUCCUGCUUUUUUAAAAAAAAAAUAUAUGCACCCAUACAUAAGAAGAUAGCCAUUUGUCUGAAAUGCUGUAGGGUUUCCUGCCUGGGCAGGGGGUUGGACUAGAAGACCUCCAAGGGUCCCUUCCAACUCUUAUUAUGUAUGCUAACAGCUUCAAAAAUACAAAGCUAAAUGACACUUUUUUUUUGUUUUGCAUUUAUAUCCCGCCCUUCUCCGAAGACUCAGGAUUUUGAGUCAACUCUGUGCUUUGAAAACAUUUAUAAAGGUAUAGGUUUAAUCAGGCAGCUUAAACCUCAAAAAUUUCCAGAAAAAGAAGGGGAAAAAAAUUAAAAAUCAAAAUCAAAAUUGUAUUCAGGGUGGAAAAGAAAAUGUAUCUGCGUAGCUUUUAUGCAGAUGAAGAAAUACAAAAUCAGUGAAAAGCAAUGCUUUUCACCCAUUUGCCCCUCUCUUCUCAGGCAGGCUCAGCAGAGAGAGAAAAAAUGGAGGGGGGUAAAUGGUUCUCCCCCUUCGCCCACCCCCUCCCCUGGCUCAACAGGGAGUGAUGGGGGGGUAGUUAAGAUGAGCCAGCGAGGACAGAGAAAAAAAAAUUCCAAAAGUCCACUCUGAGGAGGGGGAAAUGGCUGUUUUCCAGGCCCGCCUUUCUCUCACCCCGCCCCCAGCCAGGCUCAACAGAGAGCGAGGGGGAUGGAGGUUAGGAUGAGUCAGUGAGGGUUAGGGAAAAAAAUUCCAAAAGUAACUUAUUGCAGUCAAGCUGUUUGCUGAAACAAUCUCUCAUGCACACAAAUACACACACACACACACACACACAAAAGUUGCAAUCAGGCAGCGUGCAGAGACAAUUUCUUACACAUGCACACAUUUCUUGCAAAUCCAAAAGACAACACAGAAAUCUCACACCUGCUCAAUGAGUUUCUCUAACACUGCAAUCAGUCUCUCAUGCACACACACACACCAUUUACAGACCUGGGGAAGUUGUCUCUUUAAAUCCUCUCCCCUCAAGUGAGAAAACUCAGCAGUUUAAAUCAUGAAUGUGAUUGUGGGCUCUAGCUACUCCCAGUUUUCCACAGUUCCAAGCUGAGAAGUUUAAGUAAUUUGCCAGUUUGACCAUACAAAUCACAAUCAAUUCAAUCCCAUUCAAUUCUACAUGCUAUCAUAGUGGAUGAGUAUCCAAGAAUUUUAAGAGAACUCACACCAAAUUGAUCCUGGGUCUUCUUACCACACAUAACAGCAUAAAGUAACCAUCUCUUCUAUGGUUACUUGAUGUGAGCUUUUUACUUUUACCUAUUGAAUCUACCUCUUUAAGCACUAAAAUGUUACUACGUGUCUCUGCCCUGGGGUGUUCUGGGCAUUUAUCUUGUUAAGAGUAAGGGCUAUUAAGGAUCAUUCACUUUUCCAGGAAACAGAUAAGCCCUUUCUGGGGAAAUUUUAAGGGGGUCUCCCUGCUGAGUGCAUUUUAUAACUGCUCCCAGCUUUUUGCUAGGAAAUCUUUUCCCAAAACAUUCCCAAUGUGUUCCCAAAACAUUGUGGCAAUAUUUAGAAAGGAAUGCUUGAGUGAUGGUCCCUGAAAGUAGCUUGUGUCACUCAAAGAGUGAAAUCUGUCCCCUACUUUUAGUUCCAUCAGGGAGUCUGAGGGAAGCAAUUGGCCCUCCAGAGCCCCAUCAAUUUUCAGGAUAAAAUUCAGGGGUCUAGGCUGAUGAGGGUGACCCGCCCAGUGACUGAACUGGGACAUUGUUGUUCAAGGGGCAUUAUCUCCUCCAAUGGCCAAAUUGAAGACAACAUUGAUCUCUAUGGAUGGAAGCACUCCAGGGAUUAACUGAAGUUCCCCUCCCUCUUCUUUGGGGACUUCAGGAAGCAGCUGCUAAAAGAGCGGCUUGCUUUUGCAUUCUCAUUUCUUACGUUUCUUUGUGUUGGGGUUUCUAAGCCCUAGCAGUGGGGUUUUUUUUUGCAGUUUUGCAAUUUCUUUCUUAUUGGGGGGAAGGUGCUUUAACCCACAAAAGCUAUUUUCAGCAAAACAUCAUCAGGAUUGAAGUCAGUAAACUUGCAGUAUCCUUCAAACGAUUCAGAAAAAGGGGUGGGGGGAUUUUUGAAGGAUCUGAUGGAAGUGGAAGUUUACUGUUUUUCUUUUGGGGACACUCAGUUUUAAUCCUUGCAGGACAAAAUCCCUAGUUCUCUGGAGGAUGAGGGAACACAGGGGCUGAUCUCAUCAGGCACAUUAGGUCCGUGAGUGUCUAUUACACAUUGAACAAGUUCUACAUAUCUUUGGGGGAAUUCCCUGCAAGGUGGGAAUUCCAAUUGAAUAUAAAAGCACAGCAUUUGCAUCGUAAUAUGGUGUGGGGGAAACUCUUCUUCCUCUUCAGACAUUUUGCCUAGUUUGUUUCUUUCUCUGAAAGUGACAAGGGCCAAUUUUUUAGAAGAGGAUGUUGGAGUGAGCCCACACGCUCUCUGAAUCUCUGGCUGACAGAGGAGGUUGAAAAAGAAACCAAUAAAGGAUUCCUCUUCAGUUUGUCUGAUGGUAGCCAAAAAUCAGCAAAUUUGUUAAUAAAAUCUAAAUCAAAGCUGCCUUCUGGAGGCCAGGCUCCCAUGCUAGUAGGUUGGCCAGAUGGAUUUAAAAGCAACUUUGAUUGUUACUGAUAGAUCGUUCCCCGAAUGGGUUCGAAUUUCCCGGCUGGGAGAGCCUCUCCAGCAGAUUGGAGCGUUGCCGAUGUAUUAGAAGAAUUGAGAUCGAAGCGAGCUGCGUGAAAGCGAGGUUUCUUUAUUUUUCAGGAAGACGAAUCCAGCAAGCGCAAGGACCGCGUUCCUGGGUGAGCUGACAACCAUAUACAGAAGACGAAUCCAGCAAGCGCAAGGACCGCGUUCCUGGGUGAGCUGACAACCAUAUACAGAAGACGAAUCCAGCAAGCGCAAGGACCGCGUUCCUGGGUGAGCUGACAACCAUAUACAAGACGCCUGCUGCACUACCUUAUUUUUCCCAGAUGCCUCAAUCUUGAAAUGCUGUCAUUCUUUGGACACGUGAACACCACUCUCUAUUGCAAACUCAUGUUUCGCACAGUAUUUGCAACCUAGUGUCUUGUUUGA